GACGAACCGUGCGAACGUUGUUCGGAAUCACUGGGCUUAAAGGGCGCGUAGGCGGGUUCGCAAGUCUGUGGUGAAAGCCUCCAGCUUAACUGGAGAAGUGCCGUGGAUACUGCGAAUCUUGAGGAGGGUAGGGGCAUCUGGAACGGUCGGUGGAGCGGUGAAAUGCGUUGAUAUCGACCGGAACUCCGGUGGCGAAGGCGAGGUGCUGGACCCUUUCUGACGCUGAGGCGCGAAAGCCAGGGGAGCAACGGG
rnacentral:rRNA from 1 species